rnacentral:rRNA from 1 species
GCUGUGAGGCAUGCUGGAGGUAUCAGAAGUGCGAAUGCUGACAUAAGUAACGAUAAAGCGGGUGAAAAGCCCGCUCGCCGGAAGACCAAGGGUUCCUGUCCAACGUUAAUCGGGGCAGGGUGAGUCGACCCCUAAGGCGAGGCCGAAAGGCGUAGUCGAUGGGAAACAGGUUAAUAUUCCUGUACUUGGUGUUACUGCGAAGGGGGGACGGAGAAGGCUAUGUUGGCCGGGCGACGGUUGUCCCGGUUUAAGCGUGUAGGCUGGUUUUCCAGGCAAAUCCGGAAAACCAAGGCUGAGGCGUGAUGACGAGGCACUACGGUGCUGAAGCGACAAAUGCCCUGCUUCCAGGAAAAGCCUCUAAGCAUCAGGUAACAUCAAAUCGUACCCCAAACCGACACAGGUGGUCAGGUAGAGAAUACCAAGGCGCUUGAGAGAACUCGGGUGAAGGAACUAGGCAAAAUGGUGCCGUAACUUCGGGAGAAGGCACGCUGAUAUGUAGGUGAAGCGACUAGCUCGUGGAGCUGAAAUCAGUCGAAGAUACCAGCUGGCUGCAACUGUUUAUUAAAAACACAGCACUGUGCAAACACGAAAGUGGACGUAUACGGUGUGACGCCUGCCCGGUGCCGGAAGGUUAAUUGAUGGGGUUAGCGGUAACGCGAAGCUCUUGAUCGAAGCCCCGGUAAACGGCGGCCGUAACUAUAACGGUCCUAAGGUAGCGAAAUUCCUUGUCGGGUAAGUUCCGACCUGCACGAAUGGCGUAAUGAUGGCCAGGCUGUCUCCACCCGAGACUCAGUGAAAUUGAACUCGCUGUGAAGAUGCAGUGUACCCGCGGCAAGACGGAAAGACCCCGUGAACCUUUACUAUAGCUUGACACUGAACAUUGAGCCUUGAUGUGUAGGAUAGGUGGGAGGCUUUGAAGUGUGGACGCCAGUCUGCAUGGAGCCGACCUUGAAAUACCACCCUUUAAUGUUUGAUGUUCUAACGUUGGCCCGUAAUCCGGGUUGCGGACAGUGUCUGGUGGGUAGUUUGACUGGGGCGGUCUCCUCCUAAAGAGUAACGGAGGAGCACGAAGGUUGGCUAAUCCUGGUCGGACAUCAGGAGGUUAGUGCAAUGGCAUAAGCCAGCUUGACUGCGAGCGUGACGGCGCGAGCAGGUGCGAAAGCAGGUCAUAGUGAUCCGGUGGUUCUGAAUGGAAGGGCCAUCGCUCAACGGAUAAAAGGUACUCCGGGGAUAACAGGCUGAUACCGCCCAAGAGUUCAUAUCGACGGCGGUGUUUGGCACCUCGAUGUCGGCUCAUCACAUCCUGGGGCUGAAGUAGGUCCCAAGGGUAUGGCUGUUCGCCAUUUAAAGUGGUACGCGAGCUGGGUUUAGAACGUCGUGAGACAGUUCGGUCCCUAUCUGCCGUGGGCGCUGGAGAACUGAGGGGGGCUGCUCCUAGUACGAGAGGACCGGAGUGGACGCAUCACUGGUGUUCGGGUUGUCAUGCCAAUGGCACUGCCCGGUAGCUAAAUGCGGAAGAGAUAAGUGCUGAAAGCAUCUAAGCACGAAACUUGCCCCGAGAUGAGUUCUCCCUGACUCCUUGAGAGUCCUGAAGGAACGUUGAAGACGACGACGUUGAUAGGCCGGGUGUGUAAGCGCAGCGAUGCGUUGAGCUAACCGGUACUAAUGAACCGUGAGGCUUAACCUUACAACGCCGAAG